CUCAACUAAAGCUGUGUUUAUUUGGUGUGAAUCUGCCCAUAGAAUUGAUUACUUUAUUAUUGUUUCUCUACAUUUUUACACAUAUAUUUUAUUUAUAUUUUGUUUUUAUGUGUAUCUGUUUGUGUGUCUGUAUGUAUCUGUCAAUGUGCACCUGAGUGUGUGUGUGUCUGUAUCUUUCAGUGUGUAUAUCUGUGUGUCUGUGUAUUUACAUGUAUGUCAGUGUGUGUCUGUAUGUGUCCUAUGUGUGUGUAUGUAUCAGAGUGCAUGUGUGUGUAUCUAUGUGUGUGUCUGUGUAUAUUUGGGUGCCAGAUUGCACCUGAGUGUGUAUCUGUGUCUGUGUGUGUGUCUGUAUCUGGGUGUUAGUGUGCACGUGAAUCUAUGUGUGUGUAACUGUGUCUGUAUAUUUUCAUGUAUGUCAAUGCAUGUGCCUGUAUCUCUUAUGUGUGUGCAUGUGUGUAUCAGUGUGUGUAUGUGUCUGUAUCUGUGUGUCAGUUUGCACCUGAGUGUGUCUGUGUAUAUGUGUGUAUGUCUAUGUAUCUGUGUCAGUGUGAACCUGAGUGUAUGUGUGUGUAACUAUGUGCCAAUAUGUGUAACAGUGUCUGUGUAUUUGCAUGUAUGUCAGGGUGUGUGUGUGUGUGUGUUUAUAUACUACAGACAAAUGCACGCUUGCAUUCAAACACCAACAUUCAAAU